rnacentral:rRNA from 1 species
GUGCAACCUGCCUUUAUCUGGGGGAUAGCCUUUCGAAAGGAAGAUUAAUACUCCAUAACAUAUUGAUUGGCAUCAAUUAAUAUUGAAAGCUCCGGCGGAUAGAGAUGGGCACGCGCAAGAUUAGCUAGUUGGUGAGGUAACGGCUCACCAAGGCGAUGAUCUUUAGGGGGCCUGAGAGGGUGAUCCCCCACACUGGUACUGAGACACGGACCAGACUCCUACGGGGGGCAGCAGUGAGGAAUAUUGGUCAAUGGGUGCAAGCCUGAACCAGCCAUCCCGCGUGAAGGACGACUGCCCUAUGGGUUGUAAACUUCUUUUGUAUAGGGAUAAACCUACCCUCGUGAGGGUAGCUGAAGGUACUAUACGAAUAAGCACCGGCUAACUCCGUGCCAGCAGCCGCGGUAAUACGGAGGGUGCAAGCGUUAUCCGGAUUUAUUGGGUUUAAAGGGUCCGUAGGCGGACUUAUAAGUCAGUGGUGAAAGCCUGUCGCUUAACGAUAGAACUGCCAUUGAUACUGUAAGU